rnacentral:rRNA from 1 species
UACGGGGGGGGCAAGCGUUGUUCGGAAUUACUGGGCGUAAAGGGCUCGUAGGUGGCCAACUAAGUCAGACGUGAAAUCCCUCAGCUUAACUGGGGAACUGCGUCUGAUACUGGAUGGCUUGGAUUUGGGAGAGGAAUGCGGAAUUCCAGGUGUAGCGGUGAAAUGCGUAGAUAUCAUGAGGAAGACCAGUGGCGAAGGCGGGUCUCUGGACAGUUCCUGACACUAAGGCACGAAGGCCAGGGGAGCAAACGGG